rnacentral:lncRNA from 1 species
UAUCUGACACGUGUAAAGUCUGUUUAAAUUGCACCAUCGAUCAGGUGAAUCCAACGGUUAUAAAAAAUCGAAAUAAAAAAUGAAAAAAAUAGGCACAUGAUCAUGUUGUACCGUAACUUCCAUUUAGUACCCUGUUAGAUUCCUUCCACUUGCGAAAAAUAUGAAAUGCAACUUUCACUUCACUUAGCAGAUUUCUUGAGGACAAAUCUCUCCUGUAAGCAAAGAAGUGAUUCUUUUUUCACUUUUAUUCCAAGAAUUCAUACCUAAAUUACUCCUAUUCCUCUGUUUUUGUUGAACAAUCUGUGUGGGCUUAUUUGUCUUUUACGUUAUUUUUGACGAUUCUGUCUGUGCUGAGGGAUUAGAAGAACGUGUUUGGUAUUUUUGGUUUAUGGGUUUAAUUCACGACUGAUUCUACACUAAGGGUGUGCUGACAGUUCAAAAAUGGCGGGUGAAAUUGAAGAGCCUUUUAGACUUAAUUUUCAGGUACCCUUUAAUGGAUUUAUUUAUUUUCGUUUAUCUUUUAGAGGUUUGGGAUCAAUUCAGAUGCUGACGCAAUGAUUUGAUCUGUGUUUUGUGGG